rnacentral:rRNA from 1 species
AGCGGCAAAAGCUCAAAUUUGAAAUCUGGUACCUUCGGUGCCCGAGUUGUAAUUUGGAGAGGGCAACUUUGGGGCCGUUCCUUGUCUAUGUUCCUUGGAACAGGACGUCAUAGAGGGUGAGAAUCCCGUGUGGCGAGGAGUGCGGUUCUUUGUAAAGUGCCUUCGAAGAGUCGAGUUGUUUGGGAAUGCAGCUCUAAGUGGGUGGUAAAUUCCAUCUAAAGCUAAAUAUUGGCGAGAGACCGAUAGCGAACAAGUACAGUGAUGGAAAGAUGAAAAGAACUUUGAAAAGAGAGUGAAAAAGUACGUGAAAUUGUUGAAAGGGAAGGGCAUUUGAUCAGACAUGGUGUUUUGUGCCCUCUGCUCCUUGUGGGUAGGGGAAUCUCGCAUUUCACUGGGCCAGCAUCAGUUUUGGUGGCAGGAUAAAUCCAUAGGAAUGUAGCUUGCCUCGGUAAGUAUUAUAGCCUGUGGGAAUACUGCCAGCUGGGACUGAGGACUGCGACGUAAGUCAAGGAUGCUGGCAUAA